rnacentral:rRNA from 1 species
UACGUAGGGGGCAAGCGUUGUCCGGAUUUAUUGGGCGUAAAGGGCGCGCAGGCGGCCCGGCGCGUCCGCGGUGAAAGCUCCCGGCUCAACUGGGAGAGGUCCGCGGAAACGGUCGGGCUGGAGCAAGGUAGGGGGUCGUGGAAUUCCCGGUGUAGUGGUGGAAUGCGUAGAGAUCGGGAGGAACACCAGUGGCGAAGGCGGCGACCUGGACCUGUGCUGACGCUGAGGCGCGAAAGCGUGGGGAGCGAUCCGG